rnacentral:rRNA from 1 species
UACGUAGGGGGCAAGCGUUGUCCGGAUUUAUUGGGCGUAAAGAGCUCGUAGGCGGCUCACUAAGUCGGAUGUGAAAACUCCAGGCUCAACCUGGAGACGCCAUUCGAUACUGCCGUGACUAGAGGUCGGUAGGGGAGUGUGGAAUUCCUGGUGGAGCGGUGAAAUGCGCAGAUAUCAGGAGGAACACCGAUGGCGAAGGCAGUGUUCUGGGCCAGUACUGACGCUGAGGAGCGAAAGCGUGGGGAGCAAACAGG